UCUGCGGAGGAACUCUAAUCACAACCAGAUCCGUUCUUACGGCAGCCCACUGUUUUUUUAACAACGUCAUAGAUAACAGACAUAUACGAGUGCGACUUGGCUCGACAUUCUCAUAUUUUGGAGGUAACUUUCUUAGAGUUCAAAAUUGGAUUAAGCAUCCUGGAUACGCGUUUCC